rnacentral:rRNA from 1 species
CCUACGGGAGGCAGCAGUGAGGAAUAUUGGUCAAUGGACGGAAGUCUGAACCAGCCAUGCCGCGUGCAGGAAGACGGCUCUAUGAGUUGUAAACUGCUUUUGUACAAGGGUAAACCUGAAUACGUGUAUUCAGCUGAAAGUACUGUACGAAUAAGGAUCGGCUAACUCCGUGCCAGCAGCCGCGGUAAUACGGAGGAUCCAAGCGUUAUCCGGAUUUAUUGGGUUUAAAGGGUGCGUAGGCGGAUUGAUAAGUGAGAGGUGAAAGGUCCGAGCUUAACUCGGGAACUGCCUCUAAUACUGUUGAUCUAGAGAGUAGAUGCGGUAGGCGGAAUGUAUGGUGUAGCGGUGAAAUGCUUAGAGAUCAUACAGAACACCGAUUGCGAAGGCAGCUUACCAAUCUAUAUCUGACGUUGAGGCACGAAAGCGUGGGGAGCAAACAGGAUUAGAUACCCCUGUAGUC